AUUGAACGCUGGCGGCAGGCCUAACACAUGCAAGUCGAACGGUAACAGGGAUCAGCUUGCUGAUUCGCUGACGAGUGGCGGACGGGUGAGUAAUGUCUGGGAAACUGCCUGAUGGAGGGGGAUAACUACUGGAAACGGUAGCUAAUACCGCAUAACGUCGCAAGACCAAAGAGGGGGACCUUCGGGCCUCUUGCCAUCGGAUGUGCCCAGAUGGGAUUAGCUAGUAGGUGGGGUAACGGCUCACCUAGGCGACGAUCCCUAGCUGGUCUGAGAGGAUGACCAGCCACACUGGAACUGAGACACGGUCCAGACUCCUACGGGAGGCAGCAGUGGGGAAUAUUGCACAAUGGGCGCAAGCCUGAUGCAGCCAUGCCGCGUGUAUGAAGAAGGCCUUCGGGUUGUAAAGUACGUUCAGCGGGGAGGAAGGGAGUAAAGUGAAUACCUUUGCUCAUUGACGUUAACAGAAGAAGAAGCACCGGCUAACUCCGUG
rnacentral:rRNA from 1 species